rnacentral:lncRNA from 1 species
AUGCUGUCAGCUCAGCCAGACUUCUUAUGGCAAAUGCAUGAAUAUCCUCUACUGAUUUUUUAACAUCAUGGUCACCACCUCCAGGUUCUACUUCCUCGUUUUCUUCACUCUCUUUUUCUUCUUUAGGAAGACUGCUGUUGAACUGUGCUAUCCAAUCAUGAGCAGAUGUCCUCACCAUGAUCAGUUUAUCCGGCUUUGUGGAGAUACGCAACUCUGCAAACAGCUCUGUUACUUCUUUGGUGAACUCCUCAUCUCCUUUCUUUUCUUCCUCUUCUUCUUCAAAGAAUUCAGCUAAAGAAAAUGCUUCAUUGAGUUGCUCCAUUUCCU